rnacentral:lncRNA from 1 species
ACAGCGUAAGGGUGCGGGUUCCGUUUUCAAGUCCCACACCCACCACCGCAAGGGUCCAGCACGGUUCCGCAGUCUCGACUUCGGUGAGAGAAACGGUUACCUGAAAGGUGUCGUCACCGACAUCAUCCAUGACCCUGGUCGCGGUGCUCCUCUGGCUAAGGUAACAUUCCGCCACCCCUUCCGUUACAAGAAGCAACAGGAACUGUUCGUCGCAGCGGAGGGUCUUUACACUGGUCAAUUCCUGUAUUGUGGAAAGAAAGCAACACUUGUUGUUGGUAAUGUUUUGCCACUCAGAUCUAUUCCUGAAGGUGCUGUUAUUUGCAACGUUGAACAUCAUGUUGGGGAUCGCGGUGUUUUUGCUAGGUGUUCUGGUGAUUAUGCUAUUGUUAUCAGUCAUAACCCUGAUAAUGAUACCUCUAGGUAUCUAUUUACUUUCGAUUUCAAAUCUCAUUUUCAAUUAUUCACGUUUUCUGAGUAUUGAUUAGUUUUCAAUCUGAAAAUUUUGAUAUAUUGCAUGUUUUUAUUGGUUUUAGAGAAAUUCUUGUAUAAUAUAAGCUAAAUAAGUUGUUUAUAAGUAUUAAUUAUCAUAGCUUAAUUGUUGAAGUGUUAUAAAUUUUAAUUUUUAUUAUUGUUUUUUGAUUUGAUAAUUUAUUGCCUAUAUAUUUAAUUCUCGUAUUUUUUUUAUUUCCCUGAUGUUGAUUUUUUUAGUGUCCUUGGUUCACAUUGUUGCUUACAAUCUGAACUAUAAAAUAUGGAUUGUUUGCCAUGGAUUUUGGGUUUUAGAUAUACUUUGCAUCACUCUUGUUUAACACUUACGUUCUCUAGAGGGAGUUUAUGAUUUCUAUUGAAACAAGGUGGCUGUCAAAUCUAAUUUAACUAUACUUCAGUGAAUGUGUUUAUGUGAACUUAAGUUCCUCUUUUAAACUAAUGACAAUUCUAAACUAAUGACUUAACUGCUUAUGGAACUUUUGUUGUGGUUACUUGUCCAUGUGGUUUUGGAAACUAUGUUGGUUUUGAUGAUAUGUGUGCACCUUUUUUACAGGAUCAAGCUUCCAUCUGGUUCAAAGAAAAUUGUUCCAAGUGCUUGCAGGGCCAUGAUUGGUCAAGUUGCAGGUGGAGGGAGAACUGAGAAGCCACUUCUUAAGGCUGGUAAUGCUUACCACAAGGAAAAACAUGCCAACACGAGUUACUGUAAUGGAGAGUGAAGUAAUUCAAUAAAAUAAAGGAAAAUACAACAUUGAAUGAUACAUUUAUUCAUUUGAUUAAUAUUGAAUGACACAUUUAUUUAUUUGAUUAUAAUAUUAUUAUCUUUUUGUUAUUAAAAAUAAAUAGAGAAAGAUAUAAUUGUCUCUUUAUGAAUGAAAAUGAUCCUUAUUUCACCAAAGAUGAUAAUGAGAAAGUUAACAAAAGAAAAGAAUGGUUGCACACAUUUUCAUGCACAUCCACAUGUAGGUGGCAGAACCUCGUUUACAAGUUUCCAUAAAACUAAAAAAAAUCCAUCUAAUCAUGCAAACUAACGGUCUCCUUGGGAGUCGCUUAACUAAGAUGCAAUCACCAUAGUUAGGUAAUCUUAAAUUAGAAAGUAGAAAAAAUAAUAUAUUUUUCUAUUAAAUUAUUUAUAGACCCUCCUAAGUAAUAUAUGUUAUUAUAACAUGAUAAUUUAUUUACUAUUAAUUAGUUUACAAGUAACAUGUGUCAUUUUCUUGUAAGUACGAAGAUUGACGUACCACACAAACCAGCAAGUAAUAAUCUUUUGUUUUUUAUUGUGUACCGUAAUCUUCAGGCCCAAAUCCAAUUCAACUAUUUUUUCAUGCAAUCUCGGUCCAACAACACUUGGGCCUAUCAGGUCAAUAACAAAACGAUGUCGUUAAUCAUAUAUAAUAUAACCUAAUCCGAAACCCUAAUCGAGUGAAUCGCAACACUUGUUCAUCUUCACGAUGGGACGAGUAAUCAGAGCACAGCGUAAGGGUGCGGGUUCCGUUUUCAAGUCCCACACCCACCACCGCAAGGGUCCAGCACGGUUCCGCAGUCUCGACUUCGGUGAGAGAAACGGUUACCUGAAAGGUGUCGUCACCGACAUCAUCCAUGACCCUGGUCGCGGUGCUCCUCUGGCUAAGGUAACAUUCCGCCACCCCUUCCGUUACAAGAAGCAACAGG